rnacentral:lncRNA from 1 species
GAAGAUGAUAAUUCUUUAUCUUUUCUUUCAUAUAUAUACUAAAUAGAAUAAUAAUAAAUUAAUAAAAUAUCAUUUAAAAAUCAAAUUAAAAUAUUAAUAAACUAAUAUUUAUUUAAUUAAUUAAUCUAAGAUACCACCAACAUCAUCAUUGCCUUCUAGAAUUCUCUCUCUCUCUAAUUAACUAUUUUGCCCUUUAUAAUCUUUUAAAAUUCCAUCCUUGAGUCAUCACUAAAUUUGGUAAAAUUACAAUUUAGUCCCUAAAAAAUUUUCACCUUUUCAAUUUGAUCCUAAUCAUCCAUUUUCCUUAGUUUCUAGAUUAUUC